rnacentral:rRNA from 1 species
UACGUAGGUUGCAAGCGUUAUCCGGAAUUAUUGGGCGUAAAGCGCGCGCAGGGGGUUUCUUAAGUCUGAUGUGAAAGCCCACGGCUCAACCGUGGAGGGUCAUUGGAAACUGGGAGACUUGAGUGCAGAAGAGGACAGUGGAAUUCCAUGUGUAGCGGUGAAAUGCGUAGAGAUAUGGAGGAACACCAGUGGCGAAGGCGACUUUCUGGUCCGUAACUGACACUGAGGCGCGAAAGCGUGGGGAGCAAACAGG